CAGCAGCCGCGGGAAUACGGAGGAUCCAAGCGUUAUCCGGAUUUAUUGGGUUUAAAGGGUGCGUAGGCGGCCAAUUAAGUCAGGGGUGAAAGACGGUAGCUUAACUAUCGCAGUGCCUUUGAUACUGAUUGGCUUGAAUACACUAGAGGUAGGCGGAAUGUGACAAGUAGCGGUGAAAUGCAUAGAUAUGUCACAGAACACCAAUUGCGAAGGCAGCUUACUAUGGUGUGAUUGACGCUGAGGCACGAAAGCGUGGGGAUCAAACAGGAUUAGAUACCCCUGUAGUCCCUGUCUCUUAUAC
rnacentral:rRNA from 1 species